CACGUAGGCGGCCUGGUAAGUCAGAUGUGAAAGCCCGGGGCUUAACCCCGGAAGUGCAUUUGAUACUGUCAGGCUUGAGUAUGGGAGAGGGAAGUGGAAUUCCUGGUGUAGAGGUGAAAUUCGUAGAUAUCAGGAGGAACACCGGUGGCGAAGGCGACUUCCUGGACCAAUACUGACUCUGAGGUGCGAAGGCGUGGGUAGCAAACA
rnacentral:rRNA from 1 species